rnacentral:rRNA from 1 species
AGUGAACGCUGGCGGCAGGCCUAACACAUGCAAGUCGAACGGCAGCACAAGAGAGCUUGCUCUCUGGGUGGCGAGUGGCGGACGGGUGAGGAAUGCAUCGGAAUCUGCCCAUUUGUGGGGGAUAACCUCGGGAAACCGGGACUAAUACCGCAUACGGCCUACGGGUGAAAGCAGGGGAUCUUCGGACCUUGCGCAGAUGGAUGAGCCGAUGCCGGAUUAGCUAGUUGGAGGGGUAAAGGCCCACCAAGGCGACGAUCCGUAGCUGGUCUGAGAGGAUGAUCAGCCACACUGGGACUGAGACACGGCCCAGACUCCUACGGGAGGCAGCAGUGGGGAAUAUUGGACAAUGGGCGCAAGCCUGAUCCAGCCAUGCCGCGUGUGUGAAGAAGGCCUUCGGGUUGUAAAGCACUUUUGUUGGGAAAGAAAAGCAGCCGGUUAAUACCCGGUUGUCAUGACGGUACCCAAAGAAUAAGCACCGGCUAACUUCGUG